rnacentral:rRNA from 1 species
UGAGGAAUAUUGGUCAAUGGGCGCAAGCCUGAACCAGCCAUGCCGCGUGAAGGAUGAAGGCCUUCUGGGUUGUAAACUUCUUUUAUCUGGGAAGAAAAUUACGGUUUCUACUGUAACCGACGGUACCAGAGGAAUAAGCACCGGCUAACUCCGUGCCAGCAGCCGCGGUAAUACGGAGGGUGCAAGCGUUAUCCGGAUUUACUGGGUUUAAAGGGUGUGUAGGCGGGUCAUUAAGUCAGUGGUGAAAUCUCCGAGCUUAACUUGGAAACUGCCAUUGAUACUAUUGAUCUUGAAUUUUGUUGAGGUAGACGGAAUAAGUCAUGUAGCGGUGAAAUGCAUAGAUAUGACUUAGAACACCAAUUGCGAAGGCAGUUUACUAAACAAACAUUGACGCUGAGGCACGAAAGCGUGGGGAUCAAACAGG